rnacentral:rRNA from 1 species
UACGUAGGGGGCAAGCGUUGUCCGGAUUUAUUGGGCGUAAGGAGCGUGUAGGCGGCCAGACAGGUCAGCUGUGAAAACUCGAGGCUCAACCUCGAGACGUCGGUUGAAACCGUCUGGCUAGAGUCCGGAAGAGGAGAGUGGAAUUCCCGGUGUAGCAGUGAAAUGCGUAGAGAUCGGGAGGAACAUCAGUUGCGAAGGCGGCUCUCUGGACCAGCACUGACACUGAGGCACGAAAGCGUGGGGAGCAAACAGG